rnacentral:tRNA from 1 species
GCGCCCGUAGCUCAGCUGGAUAGAGCGUCGGACUUCUAAUCCGUUGGUCGCAGGUUCGAGUCCUGCCGGGCGCGCCA